ensembl:lncRNA
GCUGGAUCAAGUGCUAUUCUAUUCCCUGUGCUGCUGAAUAAUGAGUGGAAGCCAUUUUGUUCGAUUAAACCACUGAUUAAUGUGACCAUUACAGCGAUCUUUAUACAUGCAGUGAUAUAUUAGUGAUAUACAACACUCCUGUUAGAUCUAUUUCAGCACAUAGCACAUUCAACACCAUAACACAUAGCUGCGUAAUACCAGGACUCUGAAUAUCAGGGACUUUCCACUCGCAAAUACUGACCGAACAUUUGGACUUAAGUCUCUGACCCGGAAUACGGUCCUGUAUAAACACUUUACACACACACACACACACACACACACACACACACACACACACACACACAGCAGACAGGUUGUGCACCGUUUUGGGUGUUUAUGGGUUUGUGGUGUCCGAAUUCUCACUAGACAGUUCACUAUAUUAUUACCCACAAUGCACUACAGCCUCAGCUCUUUUCUAUGGGUCAUGUGCAAAGAUCACGCCAAACCACAUUCACCUGUACCCAUCAUGCAUCACUCUGCCUUUUACCGAGAUCUGUGUUUGUAGAUGACAUGGCCGUUUGUCUUUUCUUUGGCAGCCAAAUGGGGGAUGAUUUACUAACACACACACACACACACACACACACACACACACACACACACACAGAGCGUAAAGUCGAGAAAAAGAGGCAAAUUAAAUGUACACUGAAAUAUGGAAAGGAAGCAUAGACUAGAAAAGACAAAGGACAGUAAAAAGCGAAAAUGUGUAUGUGUGUGUGUGUGUGUGUGUGUGUGUGUGUGUCUUCUCACAGUGCAGUUCCUCCUCGUUCCUCCUGGCAGAACUUCCUGAACUCUCGCUCACACACACUUUCACAGUUCAGUCCACACGUUUCUCUGGGAUUCAGCUCAGGGCUUUGUGAAGGCCACUCCACUCCACUCUCUACUCCAUACUUCCAUGUUGUUGUCCUGCUGGAAGACCCGGUUACGACCAUGUUUCUACAGCUCCAGUCUUUCCAGAUACUCCUCCUUCCUCAUGAUGCCGUCUCAUCUCUGUAGGGCUCCAGUCCCUUUGCCAGUAAAACUCCCCUGAUGCUGCCACCACCGCGCUGCACAGUUGAGAUGCUGUUCUUUGGAUGAACGGCUGUAAAAG